rnacentral:rRNA from 1 species
AAAAGGUACGCCGGGGAUAACAGGCUGAUCUCUCCCAAGAGUCCAUAUCGACGGGGAGGUUUGGCACCUCGAUGUCGGCUCAUCGCAUCCUGGGGCCGGAGCAGGUCCCAAGGGUUGGGCUGUUCGCCCAUUAAAGCGGUACGCGAGCUGGGUUUAGAACGUCGUGAGACAGUUCGGUCCCUAUCCUCUGUAGCCGAAGGUAAUUUGAGGAGAUCUGUCCCUAGUACGAGAGGACCGGGAUGGACGUAGCUCUCGUGUGCCAGUUGUUCCGCCAGGAGCAUGGCUGGUUAGCGACCUACGGAAUGGAUAACCGCUGAAAGCAUCUAAGUGGGAAGCCAGCUCCAAGAUUAGAUUACCCACCGGGUUAACCGGGUAAGGCCCGUGGCAGACCACCACGUUGAUAGGCCGGAAGUGUAAGCACAGCAAUGUGUUCAGCUGACCGGUACUAAUCGGCCGAGGGCUUGAUUUAAC